UACGUAGUGAGCGAGCGUUGUCCGGAAUUACUGGGUGUAAAGGGAGCGUAGGCGGGCGAGAAAGUUGAAUGUUAAAUCUACCGGCUUAACUGGUAGCUGCGUUCAAAACUUCUUGUCUUGAGUGAAGUAGAGGCAGGCGGAAUUCCUAGUGUAGCGGUGAAAUGCGUAGAUAUUAGGAGGAACACCAGUGGCGAAGGCGGCCUGCUGGGCUUUAACUGACGCUGAGGCUCGAAAGCGUGGGGAGCAAACAGG
rnacentral:rRNA from 1 species